CACACGCUUUAGGGGUGUCACGGUGAAUACCAUUUAAUCGCGACUGAGAUCAUACCCUUUGAACCUGAUCAGGCUGAUACCUGCGAAAGGAAAAAGUACAGAACACCUA
rnacentral:ncRNA from 2 species